UCCGACCUACGGGACGCAGCAGUGAGGAAUAUUGGUCAAUGGGCGCGAGCCUGAACCAGCCAAGUAGCGUGAAGGAUGACUGCCCUACGGGUUGUAAACUUCUUUUAUAUGGGAAUAAAAUGUUCCACGUGUGGGAUUUUGUAUGUACCAUAUGAAUAAGGAUCGGCUAACUCCGUGCCAGCAGCCGCGGUAAUACGGAGGAUCCGAGCGUUAUCCGGAUUUAUUGGGUUUAAAGGGAGCGUAGGUGGAUUGUUAAGUCAGUUGUGAAAGUUUGCGGCUCAACCGUAAAAUUGCAGUUGAAACUG
rnacentral:rRNA from 1 species